rnacentral:lncRNA from 1 species
GUGCCUCUCAGCUCCUGACACUCCCCAAAAAGCACCAGGAUUGGUGCACUUGGAAGUGCACGGGCUGCUGUCCUCCCUGCCAGAGGAGCUGCUGCAGGGGUGAGGGCUGAGAGCACAUGGAGUCCUUCCCUAGAGCCAGCUCUGCAUUAUGGAAAGGGGUGAGGACAUAGAAAAAGGCACCCUGUGGUUGCUCUCCACAAUUACCAGUCCAGCGUUUUGGAGGAGCAGUAGUUUCAGAUUGGUCGUGUUGCUCUUUGAAUGUUCUGAUCGCCCCAACAGAGCAAGAUGUGUGCAGACAUCUCAGGUACCCUGUGAAAGAGCUGUGAGGAGUUCCAGUUCUGCCCCAUUUUAGUCAAAUCAAAACAGGGAUCUACAGCAAGGGCUGAAAGAAUGAGCUACCAGGAGCACACAGGAAGGUGCUGCUUUGGCAGGAUUUGAGGUUUUGAUGGGUGUGCUUGGCACAGAUCCUCCAGCCAUGAGUUACCUUCUUCCACUGCAUUCCUGGAUCUGAGCUGAUAAUAAAUAAUUAGCUGAUAGUAAAUAACCUGGAUUUAGGAUCCAUAUAGAUAGAGAAUGAUCUAAAUUCAUAUGUACUGAAACCAUUUGGAUGAAGCUGUUCUCCGUAGAUCAAGACAGGCAAGGAACUCAGAGUAUGUUGAGGGGUAUCCAUGUUUUUCCUGUAGGGAAUGCUGACCGGCUGUUUAAGGCCUAUGGUAAAAGAACUUAUAAAUCUUAUUUUCUGACAUGUUCACUCACCCAGAAGUGUAUUGCAUUCUCCUAGUCUUCACUGGGCUGUUUUUUUUACAUCUUUCUCACUUGCUUGAGGUCAGGUCGAUGAACAAGAGGAAGGGGACUGUGAGAAGAGGAAGGGGACUGAGCAGGAGGAAAGAAGGAAAAAUGAAAGAACAUUCAAAGUUGAAAACAAUAAAAACCCAGACAUAUAAGACAGCGUCCAUUUCCAUGCUUUCUCCACCGUGCAUUGCUGUAGAUAUGGAACUGUCUACAACACCUUGCCUGUCAUUUUAA